UACGAAGGGGGGCUAGCGUUGUUCGGAUUUACUGGGCGUAAAGCGCACGUAGGCGGGUCGUUAAGUCAGGGGGUGAAAAUCCCCGGAGCUCAACUCCGGAACUGCCUUUUGAUACUGGCGACCUUGAGGCUGGAAGAGGUUAGUGGAAAUUCCCAGUGUAGAGGUGAAAAUUCGUAGAUAUUGGGAAGAACACCAGUGGCGAAGGCGGGCUAACUGGUCCCAGAUCUGACGCUGAGGUGCGAAAAGCGUGGGGGAGCAAACAGGGAU
rnacentral:rRNA from 1 species